GUUCCAAUAAAACUUUAUUUACAAAAAUAGGCAAGGAGUUAGCAGGCUGCACGUUGCCAAACUCUGCCACAAGGCCUUGGGGCUAUACAAACCAACAGAACAAAAUCCCAUUGAACAGACAUUGCAAUUGAGGGAGGCAGAUAAUAAAUAGCAAACAGAUAAUCUCAGAGAGCAACUAGUACAAUGAAGGAAAAACGUAUUUCUCAUGUUAGAAUGACAGCAUACCUUCAGUUUGGCGUUCUGCUCUACUCACUAUUUGGUGAAUGUUUUCUAUGUCGCUGCACAGUCUUCACUUUUACUGAUGUUCUUGGCCUCACAAUAUCCCGCCUUGUUGGUAUCUCAGAUUUUACUUAAUCCUUCCUCAAUGUUGUACAUUUAGCUAAACUUAAUUUAUGAGCAUACAUAUGAAGACAGAAAAUACAUCAAAGUGUUCAUCUUAUAAUAAACUUCUUCUAAAUUCUUUGUUUUUGCUUUGGACAGGGAAGCCCAGAAAUUCUAGAUCAGGACAAAGGCACCAUGAGGGAGGCGAAGGAGACAAAUGCUCAUCUCUUCCCUUUGGACUUUUUUCCUCCCUGAAGGGAUGUGAUGGCGAAAAAGAACCUUCCACUAUCUCUUACUGUGAAGCUCAUUACUGGACCUUUUACAAUCUGUGGAAUCCAAAUGAAGCAAGCACCACCAGGUCUCAGAAGGGAGUGCAGCUCUUCCUAAUAAGAUUUCAAUCAGGCAAUAUAAAAUCUGGAGCCACUAUGUAGAGACAGCUGGUAAUAGUAAAGCAGCCGCAGAAGAAAUUGGAGUAAAAAGAUGCGAAGAGGCCAAAUCCUGAUGACAUUUGCUGAACUGUUGAACCGUUUGGUCUAGCCAGCGCUGCUUCAGGUUUUCCAAGUUUAUAAGCUGGUACAUUUCAGUUUUUAGAUACUUGCAACCAAAAAAUCCUAAUAUAACUACCAACAGAGCAUCUGGUAUACUGGAAAACAUUCACUGAACUAUUAAAAGGAAUCCUCACAAAGUGAUAUUUGUCCAAGUGUCAAAGUCCUAAAACUCAAAUGGAGACGACGAUCAGCUUUCACACUCUUCGCUUCAGUUUUAAGACAGUACUUGGAAUGUGUUUGCUAAAGACAGACAGAACUUUCUGUUCUCCUCUAGCACAUAACACAAUCAGAGGGAAGAUGCAUUGUGGUUGAAUAAUGCAUGAGGUAGC
rnacentral:lncRNA from 1 species